UGUGCUCGUUAUCAUGGGCCGAGUUACCUUUGAUCAUCAGUAAGUGAGAUUGUUUCUGAUACGAUUUCGUUUUCUGGCAAUCAAAGGAACUCGACUCGACUUGAAUCUACA
rnacentral:pre_miRNA from 1 species